UGCCUUGGGCUACACACACGCUACAAUGGGUGGUACAGUUGGCAGCAAUAGAGUGAUCUGGAGCGAAUCCACGAAAGCCAUCCUCAGUUCGGAUUGCAGGCUGAAACCCGCCUGCAUGAAGUCGGAGUUGCUAGUAAUCGCAGGUCAGCAUACUGCGGUGAAUACGUUCUCGGGCCUU
rnacentral:rRNA from 1 species